rnacentral:rRNA from 1 species
AGAACGAACGCUGGCGGCAUGCCUAAUACAUGCAAGUCGAACGAACUCUUCGGAGUUAGUGGCGCACGGGUGCGUAACGCGUGGGAAUCUGCCCCUUGGUUCGGAAUAACAGUUGGAAACGACUGCUAAUACCGGAUGAUGACGAAAGUCCAAAGAUUUAUCGCCAAGGGAUGAGCCCGCGUAGGAUUAGCUAGUUGGUGAGGUAAAGGCUCACCAAGGCAACGAUCCUUAGCUGGUCUGAGAGGAUGAUCAGCCACACUGGGACUGAGACACGGCCCAGACUCCUACGGGAGGCAGCAGUAGGGAAUAUUGGACAAU